rnacentral:rRNA from 1 species
CGGUAAUACGGAGGAUCCAAGCGUUAUCCGGAAUCAUUGAGUUUAGAGGACCCGUAGGCGGUCAGAUAAGUCAGUGGUGAAGACCUGCCGCUCAACGGUGGAACGGCCAUUGAUACUGUCUGACUUGGAUCAUUAGGAAGUAACUAGAACAUGUAGUGUAGCGAUGAAAUGCUUAGAGAUUACAUGGAAUACCAAUUGCGAAGGCAGGUUACUACUAGCUGAUUGACGCUGAUGGACGAGAGCGUGGGUAGCAGACAGGAUUAGAUACUCUGGUAGCCCACGCCGUAAACGAUGGAUACUAGCUGUUGGGAGCAAUCUUAGUGGCUAAGCGAAAGCGAUAAGUAUCCCACCUAGGAAGUACGUUCGCAAGAAUGAA